UACGGAGGGUGCAAGCGUUAUCCGGAUUCACUGGGUUUAAAGGGUGCGUAGGAGGGCAGGUAAGUCAGUGGUGAAAUCUCCAAGCUUAACUUGGAAACUGCCGUUGAUACUAUCUGUCUUGAAUAUUGUGGAGGUGAGCGGAAUAUGUCAUGUAGCGGUGAAAUGCUUAGAUAUGACAUAGAACACCAAUUGCGAAGGCAGCUCGCUACUCAAUUAUUGACUCUGAGGCAUGAAAGCGUGGGGAUCAAACAGG
rnacentral:rRNA from 1 species